UCCCAAAACCUUUCCAUGUUCGGCGGCCGAACUUCACUUUCGGCGGCCGAACCUGGCAAACGCCUCCUUGGUCUUUUCUUUUCAAAACUCAAUUCCUUUCCAUUUAAAACCAUAAAAUCAGUAAAAACAUUUUAGAAAACACAUUUUACCCCUCUAGAAGCCUCUGGCAUCUUCAGAAUUCCAGAUUCCAACGGAGAUUCUGCCGGAAGGUAGGGAUUCCGAUGCCGGAAGGUAGGGAUUCCGAUGCCGGAAUCUAGCUGGGUAUUACAUUCUUCCCCCCUUUAAGAACAUUCAUCCCCGAAUGUUCAACAAACAAACAGGCAAUCUCAAAACAUAGCAUCAAUCAUACAUAAACAAGCAAGCAAACAAGCAAGCAAAGCCUAAAAACCUCUCUCCUAAAAGAGAGACACACGGGUACUGCUGGAGUAAGAACUCUCGGGUCUUCCAGGCACACCUUUUACCAAAAGAAACACCUUAGCAAUACCCAACCUUCUCCUAAACUCCACUGGCUUCCGCUGCGCUUCUCUGAUCCUUACUCUUUUCUCUUCAUCUUCACUAACUGGCUUCUUCUCACUGCUAACCCAAAACUAACUCUUCCUCUCACAGGUAGUACCCGGAUUUCAGAUCUAUCUUGGAAAACAAAUAGCUCCUACUAGCUGUCCCAAUAGAUCAUCCAUCCUGCAUGGAAAUACCUGCCCUUGGUAGUGACCUUGGUCAACUGCUUACAGUUGUUACAAAGUCUCAAGGAUUCAUCCUUCUUUUCCCACCACCACACUGGAACAAUCCAGGGUGAGGUACUAGGUCGGAUAAAACCCCUGUCUACUAAGUCUCGCCUCUACUCUGACUACUACCUUUCUCUAUGCUGGCGCCAUCCUGUAGGGGAGAAUAGAAAUGGUUCUAGGUCCAGACACCACUCCUAUGCUCAACUCUAACUCCCUGAUAGGUGGUAAACCUGACAACUAGCCUAGGAAAACAACUAAGAACUCUCUCUAACAACUAACACUGAGGCUAGUUCCCCGACCUGACUGCUAAACUCUCAACAAGAACUCGAACCCUCUGACAACCCCUCCUACGCACCCUACGAACCUGACAGGCUGACAUCAAACCUCUAGGCAUCCCUACUGUGUUCCCUCAACAGACUACCUCUGACCCAUCCUGUCCUCUGAACUUGACUACCUUGUCUCUACAGACCAAGAUAGCACCACGAGCAGAAACCAAUCCAUCCCUCGGUUGACGUCCAGACAGUCAAGUCUAGGACCUCAAAGUCGGGUGGAAGGCAUCUACCCUCAACUGACACUGAACUGGACCGGCAGACUGACUCUGCCACAGAUGGAUCACACUUGGGUCCACUAACCCAAAGAGAACACUCUAGCCUAGAAGCUAUUAACUCAACCGCUCGACGGCUCCUAGAGCAACUAAAGAAAGAGAAACUCCAGGGUUCACAAAACAUACACAUCAGAACAUUCAAAAGUGAGCGUACCUGGCACCACCAUGUUCGAUGUGUCUGCCUCCUGCUGAGCUUGGGUGAAGAUCCGAGCUGAAGCUAACGGACCUUCUCCACGGGAACCUUCAAAAGAAAAGGCUGACCCUCUUCCUCUGCCUCGACCACUAACCUGAACCAUGGCUGGAGCUACUGGCUGAGCCGCUCUACCUGAAGUUGCCCGCUGAGACUGUGCCAACCAGGGCGCAAUGGGACACUCACGUACCAUAUGCCCUUCCUGACCGCAUCUAAAACAUAGAUUAGUCCCAAUCAGACAGACUCCCUUGUGCGGCCUUCCGCACCUCAUGCAUCUUGAACUGCCUGAGCCAGAGCUUGAGCCACCAAAACCCAGACUAGCCUUCAAAUUCUUCCAAAACUUCUUCUUCUUCCCCCUCAGGGUUCUGCCCCACUUCUUGCUUUUCGUGGAGGCUGUACUCAGAGUGGAGGGAUCAAUCCCUCCUGAACCCGAGAUUCUGGAAUCCUGAGUCCGAGCAUCCUCCUGAGAAUCUCCCAUACCUUCUUCUGGCACUCUGAUUCCCAAACUGACAUCCCUUCUCUGAACAUCCAACUCCACUUCCCUCAUACUAGCUGACAUCCUUCUUGGAGCCAUUCCUUCUCUGCUUACAUCAAAAGACCUUCCAGGGUCCCUUGAUGUUCCCCAUCUGCUGACUCCCUAUGACUGCGCUCUUGGCAGAACAGGGGGAAAGGCGUCCAUACCUUCCCUUUCAGAUGGAACUCCAGUCGAUUCCACAGAUCGACGAGCACCUCGCAUUCUGGCUCCUCUGAAGAACAACACACAAGCAUACAAUCAAUCAUUAGCAUCAUACGGUUCAUAUGAAAACACAUAAACCUGCAACAUACAUAGCAUACAUAGUAUAACAUACAUAACAUUAAUGCACAUGCAUAACAUCAUAGCAUUUCACAUCAUCAUACAAGACAGGACUCCACAUCCUAUCCUAGUGGACAUGAUUCUUCCUAUUGUGCUUGCCCUUCUAUGACCUCUAAACCAACCUCGUUCCGAUGUGGGAUACCUCUAAUCCUUGAGCAUCUUUGCUCAACACACCGUACUGAUGAGGCCCAAAGCUCUGAUACCACUCUGUAAUGACCCGAAAAUCGAUACCCUUCUGUAACGGCCCGAACCGCUACCGGCGCUAGGAUCCAGAUCGGCUUAAGGCCGCCGGGACCCGUAGCAAGCCAAACAUACCUCCUAUCACCUGGUCAAAUCCCAUACAUGAUCAAAACUUUAACAUAAAAACUUAAACAUAUGAUGUAUAUACCGAGCCUGACCUGUAUGCGACAUAACUGAAAACAUAAAGAAACCCCCUACUAGAGCCCUCAUCAAAACUCAAGCUGGGUCAACAUAACAUACAUCAAGCCGGAGACACAUCCAAUGAACUAGAACCUAACCUGUGCAUGCAUCAAACCACAAACAUAAGACCUCCACUAGGGUCCUCAUCAAACUCUAGCGUGGUAAACAACACAUGCCACAAGAUUAGUUCAAACACAACUCAACAUUAAACCAAUACAUACAUCAUGUACUAAAAAGGGACUAACCAAGUCUUAAGGCCAAGCACAGUACUAAUACAUAAACACAACUCUACUAUACUUGCAUUACAUUACAUUAUCUUACAAUCCAUUAUAUCAAUUUAUAAUACAUGUCCACACUAAAAGUACUAAUCUAUUACUAUAGCAAGACUUUUACCCUUGACAUCUUCCUGGACUACCUCUGACCUGCAAAACUGGGGUUAGGGGAGAGGGGUGAGCUAAAAAGCCCAGUGAGUAGAAACAGGGAAAACAUUUCAUUAAUUACAUGCUCUUAUGAAAUGCGUCACAGCACAAACAAUUCAUAUAACGGAUUGGACAUGACCACCAAAACUCCCUCUGACUGUAACAUAACAUGGUGCCCGGCCCUUCGGGCUCCUCAGGACUUCAUUAUGCCCGGCCCUUCGGGCUCCUCAAGACUUCAUUAACAUAACAUAUCUAGGGCUAUUGGGGUCGCCUUGGUCCAACCACAUCAACAGUAAAUAAUGCAAUGCGUCAUAUUCGUGUAACUAGUGCAAUCAACCUAUUACAUAUAAACAUGAUGCAUGAACAUGCUUUAGGCAUUUGAAUUUCGUAAAAUAAAAGAUUUAGUUUCGUUCUACUCACCUCUGGCAGACGCUGAACUGACUCUGCAACUGCUAACACUGAUGGCCUCCUCGGUCCCUCGGGUCCGAUCCUACACAGGUGGACUCGAAUGAGGAGCCAAACAUACUCUAACAACUCAUAAACAACUACCCAAAAACCCCCUAAAACAUCACUAAAACAUCACUUAAACAUGCAUAGAAAACAACCAUGAAAAGGCUGGACAGGGCACUUUCGGCGGCACCUUCGGCGGCCGAAAGUCCCUCUCCAGAGACGAAAGUCAGGCACUUUCGGCUGCCGAACCUUCCUUCGGCGGCCGAAAGUCUGCUUUCAAGCUAAAACUCAACUUUCGGGGGCAAGGUUAGGCGGCCAAUCUAUGCAUCCAUAGGCAGGUUCGGCGGCCGAACCUGAGUUCAUCCAGAACUCAGCCUCUUAUGAAUUCAAGCCUCCCAAACCUUCUAAACACCCCAAACCAAGCACCCAACCUCCUAAAACAUGCAUAACCCUUAACCAUGCACACAGGAGCUUAAACAAGCUUAAACUCCAACAAAGAACAUCAAAAAGCAUACUUAAAUAGCUUAUGACCCACAUAAGCCAAAACCACUCAAAACUUCACUUGCUCUUUCCCAAUCAUGCAUACACUCUCCCACAUGCAUAAACUAGCUUAAACCUUCAACAUAACAUCACAUAAACAGACAUCAACAGGCAUAAGCAUACAUUAAUAUACAUUGGGCAUAAAACCCACAUAAACCUAAAUAUGCAUAUCUACCCAUACUCAACCAUUAAAACUCCAAUAAACUUACUUAAAACUUCAUUAAACACAAAGGAAACAAAGAUCUACACUUACCUCUUGAAGAUCGAGGGUUGGUGCGAUCCCUAACUCGGAGGUGUGGAGGAUCCAAGCUCCAACAAUCUCCAAGCUCCCAAAACUCCUACUUAAGCUUCAAAUCUUCAAACACAAGGGUAGAACUCAUGAAAACUUGAGGGAUGGGUAGAGAAAACAUGAAAAUGACCAAAGGAAGGCAAAGACCCACCUGAGCUCGAGAAUGGGGAGAAAACUCGCCCAUUUCCGAUCUGAGGGCUCUUUAUAGGUGGCCUGGUCAAAGACCUUCAGCAGCCUAACGUGCCCCCUAAACUCAUGCAUGUUCGGCGGCCGAACUUGAGGUUCGGCGGCCGAACCUUGGUUCGUUCAAACAAAGCUUUCGGAGGCCAAAAGCGCUCCCAAAACCUUUCCAUGUUCGGCGGCCGAACUUCACUUUCGGCGGCCGAACCUGGCAAACGCCUCCUUGGUCUUUUCUAUUCAAAACUCAAUUCCUUUCCAUUUAAAACCAUAAAAUCAGUAAAAACAUUUUAGAAAACACAUUUUACCCCUCUAGAAGCCUCUGGCAUCUUCAGAAUUCUAGAUUUCAACGGAGAUUCCGCCGGAAGGUAGGGAUUUC
rnacentral:lncRNA from 1 species